GUCGAGCGAACAGACGAGGAGCUUGCUCCUCUGACGUUAGCGGCGGACGGGUGAGUAACACGUGGAUAACCUACCUAUAAGACUGGGAUAACUUCGGGAAACCGGAGCUAAUACCGGAUAAUAUAUUGAACCGCAUGGUUCAAUAGUGAAAGACGGUUUUGCUGUCACUUAUAGAUGGAUCCGCGCCGCAUUAGCUAGUUGGUAAGGUAACGGCUUACCAAGGCAACGAUGCGUAGCCGACCUGAGAGGGUGAUCGGCCACACUGGAACUGAGACACGGUCCAGACUCCUACGGGAGGCAGCAGUAGGGAAUCUUCCGCAAUGGGCGAAAGCCUGACGGAGCAACGCCGCGUGAGUGAUGAAGGUCUUCGGAUCGUAAAACUCUGUUAUUAGGGAAGAACAAAUGUGUAAGUAACUAUGCACGUCUUGACGGUACCUAAUCAGAAAGCCACGGCUAACUACGUGCCAGCAGCCGCGGUAAUACGUAGGUGGCAAGCGUUAUCCGGAAUUAUUGGGCGUAAAGCGCGCGUAGGCGGUUUUUUAAGUCUGAUGUGAAAGCCCACGGCUCAACCGUGGAGGGUCAUUGGAAACUGGAAAACUUGAGUGCAGAAGAGGAAAGUGGAAUUCCAUGUGUAGCGGUGAAAUGCGCAGAGAUAUGGAGGAACACCAGUGGCGAAGGCGACUUUCUGGUCUGUAACUGACGCUGAUGUGCG
rnacentral:rRNA from 1 species